rnacentral:lncRNA from 1 species
UGUUGAAAUGAGCUGAGUAUAAUGUGUGAGAAGGCACAAGGAGUUGAGAGACUGAAAGGGAAAGAAGGUAUGAGUCUUUGGGAGAGUUUGUGAUCAGCCAUAGCCGUACAAUCCGUACUGAAGGUACUGGCCGUACAAGCCGUACAUAUCAAGGGCGAUCACAAACAUUAACCAAAGGUGAAAGUUAAAAUGAGGAGUUAGAGUGGUAAACGGUCUGAGCCUCAGUCUUGGAUAAGAAUCAGACCGUUGGAAGAAGGAUAAGGGUCACCAUGACAGCCUGUCCCAUGCUGGAAAGGUAAAGCAAAAGCAAAGAUGCUUUACACAUGUGAGAUCAGCCAUUGGAUCGAUUUAAACCUGGUCUUGCUCCUGUAUUGACUUCACAUGCUUAGCCUUAUCCUUAGAGUCUUGAAAACCCUUGUAUCAUGUCCUAUAUAUUGUAAACUCUCUCAUUAAUAAAAGAUUACACAGUUUGAGUCAUUCUCUCUCUCUUGUUCUUGAGUGUUCAUCAUGAUUCUUCACUAAUCUUUUCAUAAUCCAAUCUCAUUCUCUUAUUCUCUAAAUCACUCUAACUCUUUCUAUAAAUCUUAUAUGGUAUCAGAGCCAGGU